UACAAUCAAAAGGCAUAACAUUUUAAUAAUUACAGAUGAUUAAAAACAGAUAGUUCGGAGGAACAGCUGGGUAACACUGCUGUGUACGUGCUGCACGCGAGCAUCCACCCUUAAAUUAAAUUGAGAAUUGAAAAAUCCAUUUUAAAAAGCAAUGCACAAGUGUGAUUUGAGGAGUUACCUGAUCUGGUGGAUCUUGCAAUGAGCAGAUUACAAGAUGGUGAGUAGAACCGAGCAUAACCCAUCGACGGCGUCGGCUCCGCUCCAUUCACUGCUGGAAUGCAGCAAAACAAGCUCCAUUUCUCAUUAACAGCUUAGAAACCAAAUGCAUUCGAAGCAAGCAGUGACUGCAAAAAAUGUUCUCUUAGAAUUCCUGUCUUGCACACCUCACGGGGACGCAGCAAAGGACGCAGCUGGUCCAAGUUUGCUGGGAGACAAAAUACCUUAGUUAUUCCUAUUUCCUUGCUCGCGUUCGCCUCUAAACCAAGGCACCGAGGUCAACAUUUUCCAUGGGGACAGGUGCUGAAUCCAGGUUGUUAUCUACUUAGUAGAUUAAUUAAAUCCUACUGGAAAAUUAGGAUGAUUGAAAGUGGCCACUAACUGAAUGCAACUAACUUUUUCGUGUUGGACUCGUCUAAAUUAAGCAGCCGCACACAAUAAACUCAGUCAACAGCAGAUGAUGAGAGGCAAUUCCCAGGCGAGCCCGAUCUGCUGUAGGAGUGUAUUAAGCAAGGUUGGCUACAUUAAUGACUAAUAUCAGACGAGAUGGAUUUAAUCUUAGCAUUUGUCUGGGACAAGCAAUUUGAGUGAUUUGAGAAAUUGGUUAUAAUUCAGCAGUUGUUUUCAGGAUGAAGCUGCAGCUCCGGUUUAACUCAGUGGGACUGUUGCAAUCAUCUUUAAGUAGGUGGAUAGAUCUUAUGAAUCAAAAUCUAAUAAUUUUGACAAUACUAAAAAACCAGCAAAAAUGUACUUGGUAAAAUAAAGGGAAGUGAGUGCAAUCUCAAAGUUGCUAAAACAAGGGGGAAACUGCACUUGUUUGUAUUCGUUUGCUCCUGCGGUAAUUAGCUCUGCGGAUUUCCCGAGAAGUCUCUGCGAAGGAGUCACUGAGAGCUGUAACACAUUAUUCAGCAAGUAUCACUUUUUGGAACGGAACCAGUGUUCAUUAGAGAGCCAUAAACAGACUUUUUACAAUGAAAAUGUAACAAAGUCGGCUGGUUUGAUGUUUGCGAAAGGAAUACCGAUUCCCCUGCUGUCUCGGGGGAAAUCUGCUAUUUUCAUGAAGACUCUUCUAAACCAAUAAAUCCUUAACCAGCAAGAGAGCCGGUGGAGAUGCACAGAUCUUAGUAACUCAUCGUAAUCCUUUGUAAUCCCUUUAGAAAUACAACCUGCUCACAAGGAUGUGUUCUGCAAAAACAUUCCCAGUCAUUCCGGACUGAAGAACCCAAUGGCUUGGGUUGUUUUCUAUAGAGCUGAGGAACCAGCUGCAAGGAGAUGGUGGUUGGGCACGGAGUUCACAGAACAGGGCGCAGGACACGGGGAAGCUGUGCUAACCUUUCUGGAAUUCCACAUCUGGAAUUUAAUCCAUCAUUUCAAUGCCUCUGUUGAAAAAAACAAGAGGGUUUUCAGUGCUCCCUAUGCCAAAAGGCAGCUGAGAAGAUCUGAGAAUGGACCUCAUUCUCGGAAAUGCUGACCCACCUCGCACAAGUUUGCCUGUGUUUUAAGGAAACCAGAAACAAUCAAAACGUUCAACCUAAGAAAACACAAACUAAAUGAGAAUCUGGGAAACAAACCAGCCUCAUCUAAUAAUCCAAACUGAACAAAAGAUUCUCAGUGUUACAGAGAAAAUAUAAACUUGCCUUAAGCUGCAACAUUACAAGAAAGAAAUUUGGUUAAACUUCAGCCCAAGCUUUAGAAAAGUUGAGGGUAUUUUUUUCCCCCAUAGAUUUCAAGUCUGAUGGGGAACCAGUUAAUUGACUUUCUGAUCCACAAAGAGAAGAGGGGGGGAACAAGAUAAUCCUUAACCAACAGCAAAAGGCUGAUGGCAAGUGCAAGGGUAACUAAUUUAUCUUCAAAGUCACCACAGAUUCAUGCUCUGGGAGAAGUGCAUAAUUAACACUGCAAGGGGAGCCGCACCGAGCAGCGCUAUCGAUGAACCUGUCCUGCAGGUAUAAAUUCACAUUCCGAGCUGACAGGAUAGUUGAUGGAGAUCAGCACAGCUCUGCGGCUGGAGCCCAACGGCAUCGACUCGGCACCCAGUGCCGCAAACCGGCUGCCAAAGCUGCACCUCAACCAUUACACAAGGUUUUCUCUGCUGCAAAAAUUAUUUCAGCCAUUAACUGAACUCGACUCAGCUCUCUCAUAAAUAAUUUUGUUAAUAAGCAGAUGUUAAUUAUAUUCACUGGUGGGUUUUUUUUCCUAUUUCCCAAGUUUGUUGUCAGUCGAAUGAACCAAGGUGAGAGAUGUAUCAAACAAAUGAUGCCUGGAGCAGAUAACUCAGAACUCAGUGCUGCUUAGAGACUACUAAGUAAGGUCUGAUCUUCUGCAUAUAGGGCACUUUCAACAGCAAUAGUCCACAGUGUUGCUCAUCUUUAAACUGAUCUGUAUGGUGUGAGGCAUCUAACCCAAUCAAGUGCUCCUCAAAAUCCCACUGACACACCUUAGACAUGUACAGACCUUCAACUCUGAGACUUAGUCCCAACUCCACAUCGUUACAUCUGAGAUUUUCCAUUAUUAAAGCCUGCAUAAUGGUUGAUGAUGGUGUCUUGGGACAUCUAAUUAUACAGCAAUUGAAAUGGUUACAGUAGUUCUGCAACAUCAAAGUCGUGUUAUCUAUCAUGUGGCCAGUGUUGCUUUCUGCAUUACUUACAGGGGACGCCCUCCAAAGCUUAUUGGAGACAACACAAAGACCGUCACUGGUUUCACUGGUGUUAAGAACUGCUCUCGUAUGGAGCAUUUUCAUCCAAUCCACAGUCCACUCCAAACCAACUACCUUGUGUUCUACAUAUAUUAUCAGAAACAGCCAGAGACAGUUGCCUGGUCAAGGGCUUGCACAGGAACCACGUGCACUGGUCAUGAGCCAAACAGCAGCAUCUCCCUCAAGUAAACUGAGCAUUUAAUGUCUUAACUUCAUCACCAGAUUAUAUACAUGCAGGCUUUGGAAACACGACGCAGUGCUUAACACAUACUUUUGAUGCAAUGUUGGUGCAGUCUGAGUCUUGACAUCUACACAAGAGCCACGGGAGAAUUCCUCAAAUGCAUUUCCUGUAACAUAAACUGAGGAAUUUUUAGCAUGCAGGGAAGCUGUGAGUAAUAGAGCGGAAAUUAAAAUGCCUGUAUCUGGUAAAUAUCCAUGCUGGCCAUUAGCAAUGGCAAAUAAAGCUAUUAUUACAAAA